UACGGAGGGUGCAAGCGUUAUCCGGAUUCACUGGGUUUAAAGGGUGCGUAGGUGGGCUAGUAAGUCCGUGGUGAAAUCCCCGAGCUUAACUCGGGAACUGCCGUGGAUACUAUUAGUCUUGAAUAUCGUGGAGGUAAGCGGAAUAUGUCAUGUAGCGGUGAAAUGCUUAGAUAUGACAUAGAACACCGAUAGCGGAGGCAGCUUACUACGCGAUUAUUGACACUGAGGCACGAAAGCGUGGGGAUCAAACGGG
rnacentral:rRNA from 1 species